GGAGUAGGUCCCAAGGGUUGGGCUGUUCGCCCAUUAAAGCGGUACGCGAGCUGGGUUUAGAACGUCGUGAGACAGUUCGGUCCCUAUCCGCCGCGCGCGCCGGAGACUUGAGGAAACCUGUCCCUAGUACGAGAGGACCGGGACGGACGAACCUCUAGUGCGCCAGUUGUCCCACCAGGGGCACCGCUGGUUAGCCACGUUCGGACGGGAUAACCGCUGAAAGCAUCUAAGCAGGAAACCCAUUCCAAGAUGAAGUCUCCCACCCCCACCGAGGGGAUAAGGCCCCCAGCAGACCACUGGGUUGAUAGGCCAGAAAUGUACACACCGCAAGGUGCUCAGUUGACUGGUACUAAUAGGCCGAACGACUUAACCCA
rnacentral:rRNA from 1 species